GACGUAGGAUGCAAGCGUUGUCCGGAUUUAUUGGGCGUAAAGAGUUCGUAGGUGGUUCGUUAAGUCUGAUGUUAAAGACCGAGGCUCAACUUCGGGACUGCAUUGGAUACUGGCGGACUUGAGUGUGGUAGAGGCAAUCGGAAUUCCAGGUGUAGCGGUGAAAUGCGCAGAUAUCGGGAGGAACACCGAUGGCGAAGGCAGCUCGCUGGGACGUGACUGACGCUGAGACGCGAAAGCGUGGGGAGCGAACAGG
rnacentral:rRNA from 1 species